rnacentral:rRNA from 1 species
UACGAAGGGAGCUAGCGAUGUUCGGAAUUACUGGGCGUAAAGGGCGCGUAGGCGGUUUGUUAUGUCAGAUGUGAAAGCCCCGGGCUUAACCUGGGAACUGCAUUUGAAACUGGCAGACUAGAGAUCGAGAGAGGAAAGUGGAAUUACAAGGGUAGAGGUGAAAUUCGUCGAUAUUUGUAAGAACACCAGUGGCGAAGGCGACUUUCUGGCUCGAUACUGACGCUAAGGCGCGAAAGCGUGGGGAGCAAACAGG